rnacentral:rRNA from 1 species
CGGGUGAGUAACACGUGAGUAACCUGCCUUUCAGAGUGGAAUAACGUUUGGAAACGAACGCUAAUACCGCAUAACAUGAGAGAACGGCAUCGUUCUUUCAUCAAAGAUUUUAUCGCUGAGAGAUGGGCUCGCGGCCGAUUAGGUAGUUGGUGAGAUAACAGCCCACCAAGCCGACGAUCGGUAGCCGGACUGAGAGGUUGAACGGCCACAUUGGGACUGAGACACGGCCCAGACUCCUACGGGAGGCAGCAGUGGGGGAUAUUGCACAAUGGAGGAAACUCUGAUGCAGCGACGCCGCGUGAGGGAAGACGGUCUUCGGAUUGUAAACCUCUGUCUUUAGGGACGAAAAAAUGACGGUACCUAAGGAGGAAGCC